rnacentral:rRNA from 1 species
UCCUACGGGAGGCAGCAGUGGGGAAUAUUGCACAAUGGGGGAAACCCUGAUGCAGCGACGCCGCGUGAGCGAAGAAGUAUUUCGGUAUGUAAAGCUCUAUCAGCAGGGAAGAUAAUGACGGUACCUGACUAAGAAGCCCCGGCUAACUACGUGCCAGCAGCCGCGGUAAUACGUAGGGGGCAAGCGUUAUCCGGAUUUACUGGGUGUAAAGGGAGCGUAGACGGCAAGGCAAGUCUGAUGUGAAAACCCAGGGCUUAACCCUGGGACUGCAUUGGAAACUGUCUGGCUCGAGUGCCGGAGAGGUAAGCGGAAUUCCUAGUGUAGCGGUGAAAUGCGUAGAUAUUAGGAAGAACACCAGUGGCGAAGGCGGCUUACUGGACGGUAACUGACGUUGAGGCUCGAAAGCGUGGGGAGCAAACAGGAUUAGAUACCCUGGUAGUCC